rnacentral:rRNA from 1 species
GGCCGCGGUAAUUUGACCGUGCUAAGGUAGCAUAAUCAUUAGUUUUUUAAUUGAAAGCUGGUAUGAAUGGUCGGAUGAGAAAAUAACUGUCUCUAUUUAAUUUUUAUUGAAUUUUAUUUUUAAGUAAAAAAGCUUAAAUUAAAUUAAAAGACGAGAAGACCCUAUAGAGUUUUAUAAAAUUUAAAAUUUAAAUUUUUAGUAUUAUUAUUUUGUAUUUUAAAUUUUAUUUGAUUGGGGCGAUUGAAAAAUUUAAUAAACUUUUUUUAAAUAAAAACAUUAAUGUAUGAAUUUUUGAUCCAUAAAUAAUGAUUAUAAGAUUAAAUUACCUUAGGGAUAACA